rnacentral:rRNA from 1 species
GUCCAGCCGCCGCGGUAAUACGAAGGGUGCUAGCGUUGUUCGGAAUUACUGGGCGCGCAGGCGGUCUUGUUCGUCAGGUGUGAAAGCUCGGGGCUCAACCCCGGAAGUGCACUUGAAACAGCAAGACUUGAAUACGGUAGAGGAGAGAGGAAUUCCUGGUGUAGAGGUGAAAUUCGUAGAUAUCAGGAGGAACACCGAUGGCGAAGGCAUCUCUCUGGACCGAUACUGACGCUGAGGCGCGAAGGCGUGGGUAGCGAACGGGAUUAGAUA